UACGUAGGGGGCGAGCGUUGUCCGGAAUUACUGGGCGUAAAGAGAGCGUAGGCGGCACUACAAGUCUCAUGUGAAAUACCCGGGCUUAACUUGGGGAUUGCAUGGGAAACUGUAGAGCUUGAGUACAGGAGAGGCAAGCGGAAUUCCUAGUGUAGCGGUGAAAUGCAUAGAUAUUAGGAGGAACACCAGUGGCGAAGGCGGCUUGCUGGACUGAAACUGACGCUGAGGCUCGAAAGCGUGGGGAGCAAACAGG
rnacentral:rRNA from 1 species